rnacentral:rRNA from 1 species
CCCCAGCGCCACAAGUGGUUAUCACGAUUAUUGGGCCUAAAGCGUUCGUAGCUGGUUAGGUAAAUCUCUUGUGAAAUUGUUCGGCUUAACCGGACAGCGUGCGAGGAGAGACUGCCCAACUCGAGACCGGGAGGCGUAUGAAGUGAUUCCAUGGGGACUGGUAAAAUGGGAUAAUCCAUGGAAGACUACCGAUGGCGAAGGCAUCAUACGAGAACGGAUCUGACAGUGAGGAACGAAAGCCAGGGGAGCGAACCCGG